GGGUGUGGGUGGGUGGGAGCAAGCGAGUGUGUCCACACAUGUGCCUAAAAACUUAAAAGGGCGAAUGGUUGAAGUUCAUUGCUGCCAUUGAGACAUUAAUUUUUUUUUUUGUCUGUUUUUGGGAGAGUGUGUGUGUGUGUGUGUGUGUGUGUGUGUGUGUGUGUGUGUGUGUGUGUGUCUUGGUGAAGACACUUAGACACUCCCCCCAUGCUUAUAAACAAAGAGCUUUGUGCAUUGCGCACACACCAUUCUCUAUAGUUCUUCUAGUGUAGCCAGAGGAUGGUCCACUUUUUAGGGGAUGUGGCUCACAUUGCCUUGUUGUCCACUCUUUUACUCCUGAGCGAGUGACUGACUAGCUUCAAACGAUCCCAUCAAACUGUGCAAGUGCACACAACUGUGCACAAAAUGUUCAUUAUAAUGUUACUCGUUUGUUGUCGCUGUUGUUCAUAAUGAUUACUUUUUGUUAUUAAUGAAUAUAAUAUAAUACAUACACAUAGUUAAAAAAGUAUUUGAACUACAAAAAAAAAGCACUUGGGGCUGCUACUUUGUUUAUUUUUGAAACUAUUUUACUUUAGUCUUUAGUUUCAUUGCCACCAUGUGAAGUGUGUGAUUUCUUUCUUAAGAAAACAUUGAAUGUAUUCCAAAAAAAGGUGAAAAAAGAAAACAAAAACAGUGAAGCCGUGUUUUUUUUUAUUCAACGCAAAAAUGGAAGCAUAGUCGGACAUUUGAACAGAGAGAAUGACAUCUUUUUCUAUAAAAACAAAAACAAAAAAACCUGUUAGCAAAUGGAAAAAAAAAAUCAAGAUGUACCGCUAGAACACACUGCCUCUACAAUCCUGUUCAUACAGACAUUAUGACUAUGAAAAUGAAAAACAAACACAAAUAUUCCAUACUGGAGUUUUGGUUGUUUACAAAAAAACACUUGGACAUUUUCUGAGUGCAUUUUCCCCUUUUAUUUUCUUUUUGGGGAGAGGGGGUAGGUAGAAACGUGACUCAGUUCAAAAACGUUUGGGGAGCUGUGCUGUAGUAAUCAUAUGACAGCAAACCCCUCCCUUUGUAGUGAAAUUAUUUUGGCAUAUAGAAUGUGUGUGUCUACUUGUUGCGACUUUAUGGAGUGGGUGCUGGGACAAGGAGUUAUUACAAAGCUUACCAUAUUUUGUUUACUAGUCUUGUUUUUGUUUACUUUUUUUCAUAUUUUUUCUUCAGAUUUAAAUGCUUUGUGUUCAUCUUGAAAAGAAAUGGUUCGUGUUCCUGGAAAAGAAAGCGAAAUCAAACAGCACAGACCCUCUUUUUUCUUUAGUUUUUUGGGUACUUUGAAAUGCACGUAGGUAAUUGUUGAUGCUUUAACAGUUCUCUUCCCCAAUGAAUUUAGGCUGGGUUUUUUUUGUUUUUUGUUUUGUUUUUUUUUUGCUUUAGAAAUAUUAAAUGACAAUAAAAAGAUGGACAUGUCUGCAAUGGUUGGAUAACACAAAAGCAUGGAAUAACAGGAGGGAUGUCUAUGUGUGACCUCAGUUCUGCCGUCACAUUCUGUGGACCGUAAAAAAGCCUUUCUGUUUCCACAUGGGCAAAGGGAGCAUCACGGCAGUUCACUUGCAGUCUUCAUGAAGAUAACAAAGGAACUAACACUGCCUUGCUGCCCUCAUUAUGCACUUUUCAUGCGCUCAAAACUGUGAGGACCCUGCUGGGACAUAAGAGGAAGAAAGGGGGAGCUGCUGACACCACGGCUGUUGGGACACUGGAGGUUCACUUGAAGCACCCUUCAGUGGGAAUAUAAACCAGGCCAAGGGACAGCAGAAGGUGUCCUUUCCACUCUCCAUGUACAUAGACAAUGCUGUUUUAUUUCUCGCUCAUCUCAGCCUCUCUUAGGACUGAACAUUUAUCUUGAUUACACACCAAUGAAGGAGGUUCAUGAGUCAGACAUAGUGAAUGUUCACGGGGGUGGAACAGUUCAGCUGUGUGUUCGCAAGUGUGAUGGCACCAUGAUCAAACUGCAGCCCUCCAGAGGUUUCCUGUGGACAUGCUGGACAAAGUGGAGUGCUCCCUACGGAGUGCUCCAUAGGGAUAGGAAGUUUAUGAACUGCGCAUUUCAGGGUGCUAGCUAAGAUGCAAACAGGGGGAAGGGGGAGAAUCUCGUCAGAGGCUGGAGUGAAACAUGUGACUCUGGAUUGCUCCCUUAAAUGACAGAAAUGCAUUUCAACUAGGGGAAGGAGGGUUGAAAUGAUGGAAUGGCUGUACUGACUGCUGUAGAUUCGCUUCAGUGUGGUGUCACCUGUGACUGCAGCAACUGAACUGUCAGCAUGACCAGUGUUCCAGAGCUUUGGAAGAGGAUGGUCACCAGCUUUUCUCUCUCUCGCUCUCGCUCCUCAGAUUUUCAGAUCAUUUCUAGGACGAUGUGAAAUUACUGUCCAGUAAAUACAAGCCCACAAAGAGGAGGGCUGAUUUUUCCCCUUUAUCCAUGUGAGUUGCUAGGUUCCUAUGGAAGUGGCUUCAUACCCAGCUGACUGAUUGGAGAGUGGAAGAGAGAAAGCUCUGAAUACUGGAACUAUGGACAGUCAAAACCUGUACAGACUAGUAGUCCACCUAUAUCACCUGGCCCUAGUGAAUACAUGGCUAACACACAUGUACAGGCAUGUUCAGCACACAUGCAGCAUGACUUUUAAAGUACUACCACACACAUGCAAACAUUAACUUGCAUCAACUGCUGUCUUAACUGAACAAAUACACGCAAAGACUCUGCAACCAUGCCAACUGCAGGGUGCCCUGUGACCUGUACACAUGACCUCUGCUUCUCUGUGUUGGGUGAUGAUUUACCGCCACUAUUUCUCUGCCCCCUUCCUCUAUGACUUGCCUUAACUGUACAGACCACUCUGUACUUGGAUUGGAAAUUAUCUGUAAUUAGUUCAGCAUUCUUUUACUUCAAGGACGGUUCCGACACUGACCUAAAAGACUCAUAAAUGCUUGAUUAAAAGCAGCUUCGGUUGAAGAUUUACGUAUAACAUGUAUCUGAGCAACAAACCCCGUUUAGCCUAAAUUCAACAUAGAUAAAGGCUGAUGUGAGUUUAAAGAGUCUGUGGCUAAUUGUAACCCUCAAAAUGUGACUGGUUUCAUAUUAACAUACAUCACUGCAAAACCUUUUCCUUUUAAAGGGGUAUAUUGGAAUCGAUUACUAGAUUAUGCAGUACUUUUCAACUCUGGUAUUUAGAGGCUUUUAGUCUCAGUCUACCUGGACUUUAUGAAUGGUAUAUAAGUAUGUGUAAUAUCUGUAAUUGUACAGCAAGGUUUUGAGCUGCAUGCAGGUUUUACAGUGUGGCAGUACCUUUUAACAAGUGUACUGUGCCCUUCAUAUAGAGUGGGACUGGCUCUGCGUUUUAGCUAUAACUUCAGUGGCUGUUGCUGUGAUGGUGGGGGUCACAGGUAUAUGAUCCCAUUUUAUUAUGGAAAAAAAAUAAAACCAGUUAUCUUAACAAUAUGGAGGAGGAGGAUGACGGGGUGUCUGGGUGAUUGUUGAUUAAAAACAUUUAUAUUACAUGUAUUUGCAACAACAAAAAAAAGAUGUAGACCUGCAACCUAGAAUCUAUGGUACCUGUAUUAGCAGUGGGCUUAAUUAUAAUGUGAACAAACCUUGCUAUCCAAAACAUACACUGAGUAUCCUAGUGGAAGAGAAUACAUUUCAAGUACUUGAUUCUUUGAGUAACGGCAGAAGACAAAAUCAGUAUUGAAUUUGAAUCUCCUAUCAUGUCAUUUGCAUGUCAAGGCAUAACUUAGUGAAAUGUUAAUUUGCCUUUGCAUUCUACUCGUCUGCUUAGCCCUAUAGCUAAACUUUUAAAUAAGUCAGAUAUAACUUUGAAAUGAUACUGAAAAUGUUAGCAGCAAAGUAACGUCCUCAUUAAUCAGAGUGUAAAUAGUUUGGGGGUUUUGUUUGAAACGAUGAAUACUAAAUAAACACUUAUUAAGGAAA